ensembl:lncRNA
UAACCAACUUCAUGGUUAAUAAUUAAUAUCUUACUGACCCCAAACUUUCAAAUGGUAGUAUAUAUAUAUAUAUAUAUUUACACUGAAAAUGUUAAUAAUAAAAAAACAUUAUUAAUAAUAAUAACAUUUAAUAUUUAAUUAAUUAUUAUUAUUAUUAUUUAACUAAAAUAUAAAAUGAAUAAAAAUAAAGAGCUAACUUAAAAAGUGUGCAUCGUGUGGUAACAUCAAAAUCUAAAAAGUAUUGUUUAACAUUACUGAAUCAACUUAAAUCAUUAUAUUACACAUUUGUUUUUACAUGAAUUUAAGGGAAGUAAAAUAAUUAAGAUCAGGUAGAAAUAUUAUGGUAGUAGUUAGUGUUUACCAAAUUUUGCAUUGUGUACAGUAUGAGAAUAAUCCUGAAAAUUCUGUGAGCAUGACUAAACCUUUAAAAUAAAUGUCAGAUAAUAUUGUUUUAAAGAAACAGUUCACCUAAAAAUUACAAUUCUGACAUUACUGGGGAACUAUUCCUUUAACAAUUAAUCCUCAAAAUAAAACUGCCUUUUUGGUCAUGAUAACUUGAUAUUCUGACAUAUUCAGCAGCUACAGUCUCAGACAGAAAUAAAUCAAUACCUGGUCAAGAUCAAGCCUCAGGGGUUCAACUCUAUAAUAUCGAGUUAUGACAACCGCACAAUCUAGUUGUCAGCUCACAGCCCAGAUGAAUGUGCAUCUUUAUGAUGCAUCUUUCCCCUUCUAAAGAAAACAAAGAGUGCCAAAUGAAACGGAAAUAAAUGCUGGCAGAUCCUGCAUUGAAAGAGUCUGUCUGAUCCCUCAAGAAAGAGGGUUGCUCAUCUCACAUAUGCAUUGACGAUGCUUUUGGUCUCAUUCCAUGUGUUUUUCCCACAAUUCUCUAAGGACAAUUUCAAAGUUAAAGAGCAGGGCUGUGUAGGCUGAGAAGUGGGUGGCUUCUAUUCUAAAGAUCAGGUCUCUAUUCACUCUUGCAGUUUCCUUGCUGAUGCUGCCUGGCAGUCUGCGGCUGCCCCAUUUGUCCUGUGUUUGGUUGUUAACAAACAGGCUGAGGCAAUCUGAUCCAGAAGCUAUGAAGAGCUGGAAA